UUUACCCUUGGGUGUAUUCCUUACUUCCCAUGGUAUGUUUGGAUAUGUGAGCAGAAGCUGGGGGAAGUUGCAUGUUUGUUAUGCAGUGACUGCCUACAACUCUCGAAUAGAUGUUUAAUCCUACAGAAUUGUGUAGUUCUGGCCUACAACCCUGGUGAGCUGUACUGGCCCAUGACUAAAGCAUCUACAAGCCUACUGUCCCUUUAACACAAAGACUAAACAAGUCCAGACUGGUUUUACCAUCAGGUAAGAUACUGCCUUUAGACAAGGCAACAUUAUAGCAUAUGAAAGCAAUGUAAUAAGUAAAAUGGGGUACUGGCAUUUCUAUUUGUCCUGUGCGCAUAAACAUCCUAUGAAGCCAUGUUCUUACUUGAACACAGAUUAUCCUGUUUCUGUCUCACUUGCUCUCUCCAAAUGCCAAACUCUUUAUUAAAGCCCCUGAUUAGCCCAUAGAGUAGUCUCAAAUGUACCUCUGGGAAGGAGGGUAGGAGUUUCUGAUGACUUUGGAAUUUUAAGUUUUCCUUUAAAGCUCCUUCUUUUCCCAGGAGUAAAAUGGAGGUAGGCUUUUGUCAUCAAAAAGAAUCAAAUUGUCCUAUGUGGUGUUGAGGUACAUUUU